UGGCGGCAGGCUUAACACAUGCAAGUCGAGCGGUAGCAGAUCUAGCUUGCUAGAUGCUGACGAGCGGCGACGGGUGAGUAACGCGUAGGAACCUGCCCAGUAGUGGGGGAUAGCCCGGGGAAACUCGGAUUAAUACCGCAUACGCUCUACGGAGGAAAGAGGGGGCUUCGGCUCUCGCUAUUGGAUGGGCCUGCGUGAGAUUAGCUAGUUGGUGAGGUAAUGGCUCACCAAGGCGACGAUCUCUAGCUGGUCUGAGAGGAUGAUCAGCCACACUGGGACUGAGACACGGCCCAGACUCCUACGGGAGGCAGCAGUGGGGAAUAUUGCACAAUGGGCGCAAGCCUGAUGCAGCCAUGCCGCGUGUGUGAAGAAGGCUUUCGGGUUGUAAAGCACUUUCAGUGGGGAGGAAGGCCUCGUAGUUAAUAGCUGCGAGGAUUGACGUUACCCACAGAAGAAGCACCGGCUAACUCCGUG
rnacentral:rRNA from 1 species